GUGUUGAGAGAUUUUACUUGCAUAAUAUUUAUUUAAUUUAAUAUUUUUAGUGUUAAGAGAGACUCUAGUUACAUAAUAUUUAUUUUAUGUGGCUUAACUAUCAUUAUUAUAAUUGUUUUAUGUAAUUUAUCUUACUAAUAUCAUAUUUUCUAAAAGGCUUUCAAAGUUAUAACAGUUUCCAAAAUCAUUAUUUCAUCUUUUAUUUUAUAUUUCAAUUUCUGCACGUGAACAUUUUUUGUAACACCUUACAUACUCGAACUUCACCAACCCGUAAUUCGAUUAGGCUACUGAAGAACUGCCAUGAUUCGAUCUCAAUUAUUCUAUUGAAUUAUACAUUUUCCUUUGCAAAUCAAUUGAGCUGGAAAAGUAU
rnacentral:lncRNA from 1 species